UGGGAGGAGUAUUUAGGAGCCUGCCACCAGUCCUUUGUUGCUUGAGUGUUUUUGCCCAUGUGUACCUGUGAGGUGUGGGCAGUUUCCUCUCUACCUGGACUUGGACAUCCAGUACCUCUUACUACAGUGAACUUUGGAUUAUUCACCUCUAGACUGUGGUUUGGUUCCUAAACCUCCCAAGCUCCUACCUCUGUGUGGACUCAGACCUGCUGUUGGACCAGCAUUCUGGAUUACCUGACUCCUGAGCCCUGUGCAGAUGGAGGCAAUGUGCAGAUCUGCAGUGAGGAGAAACAGGACGUUAACAGGGAAGGUGAAGGGGACUCCUGAAAAAGGGGAGCCGGAUUUAUUCAGGCAGAAAGCAGGCGGGAUCAGCUGCUGAUCAUCACAGCUUCACAGGAGCUGCAAUGCAGCUACGCCCUGGGUGACCCGAUGGCAGGUCUGCCUGUUCUCACCUGGUGGGAAGAAUGUGUUACCACACUUAUGGAGUAAUAUACAGCGCUCUCCACGCUUUUAUUGCAGUUACAUAAUCUCACACUGAAAAGCUUAGAAAAAUUCAACCUUUACUUCAGAAAUUUUUCAGUGGGGAAAACUCCACACUAAGAAAUAAUAGUUUUUAACAACAUCCACAGUUUUUGGUUCUUCCUGCCCGUAAUUCUUCGUAUAUCUCCCUUGUGCCAAUUGGACAGCACUUUGGUAUCUCCUAUGAGGUUAUUAGCAGGACUUUGUAGAACUUAAUUACAUACUAAGGAGGUAAUUCAGCCAUUUGAUUCAGGAGUGUAUGACCAGGAGCAGGUCUAAAGGUGGCAGGACAUUGGCCCUUGAGGACUAGAGGUUAAAUCUAGACCAGGGGUCAGCAGCCUUUAUAGUCCAAGAGCCAUUUUUGUCCUCGCUACUGCUAAAUAAAAUUUAUCUUUAGCUGCACUUCAGAAAAAAGAAGUUUAUCAAAUUUUCUAAAUACCUACCACAUAAAAUCUGGUUUAUGGUUAAAGUAUUGUUUUUUUUCUUUGUAUUUUUAGGUUUUAAAGCAAAGAGAACGUAAAAUAUUUACUAGAAGAGAAUUAAAAAGCUGUUCUUUCAUAUAGCAUUGCGUAUUUAUGGAAAAUGAAAACGGGGAAAAAACAAAGUUUGUAACUUAAUGAAAAAACAAUUCUGUGCAUCCACAGUUUCAUUGAGUUGUGGAAGUUCUUUGCUGAAAUGACAUAGCCCUUUUGGCCAACGUUGUUAAGAGACUGUAUGAAGCUACAGGCUGCAGACCCAGGUCUAGACUGUAGAAAAACCUUUAGCUAGAAUGCCUCUGAAACACUCUGCAUAGUUAGCUUUCAGCGGAGCAAAAACAGGAUACAUGCAGAAUAAAAUAGAAUAGAAUACUGUGAAAGAAAAACUGUGCAGUAAUUAAAAAUAGCAUACUCUGAAUAAAAAAAAUGUGUAACUAAGUAGGGUGAUUUAAAAAAAAUAUUAAAAAUGUGCAUGUUU